GAAUUCUGGAUGCUGAGAAAAC
rnacentral:miRNA from 1 species